rnacentral:rRNA from 1 species
AACGAACGCUGGCGGCAGGCCUAACACAUGCAAGUCGAGCGAAGCCUUCGGGCUUAGCGGCGGACGGGUGAGUAACGCGUGGGAACGUGCCCUUUGGUACGGAAUAGCCCCGGGAAACUGGGAGUAAUACCGUAUGUGGUCGAGAGACGAAAGAUUUAUCGCCAAAGGAUCGGCCCGCGUUGGAUUAGGUAGUUGGUGGGGUAAUGGCCUACCAAGCCGACGAUCCAUAGCUGGUUUGAGAGGAUGAUCAGCCACACUGGGACUGAGACACGGCCCAGACUCCUACGGGAGGCAGCAGUGGGAAUUUUAGACAAUGGGGGAAACCCCGAUCUACCCAUGCCGCGUGAUCGAUGAAGGCCUUAGGGUUGUAAAGAUCUUUCAGUGGGGAAGAUAAUGACUGUACCCACAGAAGAAGCCCCGGCUAACUCCGUGCCAGCCGCCGCAGUAACAC